AUUUUAAGAUGUCCUAUUUAGAAAUAGUAAUAUAAAAAGAAGAGUGAACUUCAAAUGCCACCCAUAUAGUUUCGCACUUUCUCACUUUAGUACUUAAAGUAUAUCAAGUUAGUGUCCUGUGGUUUUAUUUUUGUCUUUUCAUUAGUUUUUUCGUUAAUGUUUUAUUAAAUUAUAUAUAAAAAACUUCAGAUAUCCCAUCUAGGUUUAUCGAAUAUUCACUUUAAUAUUCUUUAGUUUUAACUUUAUCAUUGAUUUAACGAAAAAAAUUAGUGGAAUCGAUAAUAAAAAGAUAAAAAUAAAACCAAAAGGUAUUAAAUUGAUACACUUUAAAUCAUAGGGUACUAAAGUGAGAAAAUGUGAAACCAAGGUGUGAUAUUUGAAGUUUUUCCUAAAAGGAAAAUUA
rnacentral:lncRNA from 1 species